GCCCAAGGACGGGGACAAGGAGGGCAGGAGCCCCAGCAAGCGGGAGAAGGACCACAUCCGGCGGCCCAUGAACGCCUUCAUGAUCUUCAGCAAGAGGCACCGGGCCCUGGUGCACCAGAGACACCCCAACCAGGACAACAGGACCGUCAGCAAGAUCCUGGGAGAGUGGUGGUACGCCCUGGGACCCAGGGAGAAACAGCAGUACCACGACCUGGCCUUCCAGGUGAAGGAGGCCCAUUUCAAGGCUCAUCCCGACUGGA